rnacentral:rRNA from 1 species
GAUGAACGCUGGCGGCGUGCCUAAUACAUGCAAGUCGAGCGAACGGACGAGAAGCUUUCUUCUCUGAUGUUAGCGGCGGACGGGCGAGUAACACGUGGAUAACCUACCUAUAAGACUGGGAUAACUUCGGGAAACCGGAGCUAAUACCGGAUAAUAUUUUGAACCGCAUGGUUCAAAAGUGAAAGACGGUCUUGCUGUCACUUAUAGAUGGAUCCGCGUUGCAUUAGCUAGUUGGUAAGGUAACGGCUUACCAAGGCAACGAUGCAUAGCCGACCUGAGAGGAUGAUCAGCCACACUGGAACUGAGACACGGUCCAGACUCCUACGGGAGGCAGCAGUAGGGAAUCUUCCGCAAUGGGCGCAAGCCUGACGGAGCAACGCCGCGUGAGUGAUGAAGGUCUUCGGAUCGUAAAACUCUGUUAUUAGGGAAGAACAUAUGCGUAAGUAACUGUGCACAUCUUGACGGUACCUAAUCAGAAAGCCACGGCUAACUACGUG